UGCAAACAGAACGAAAACAAAGACAACGAGCACAGCUGCUGCUGUGGCUGCGAAAUCAAAACAAAUUUGAAGUUGACAUAAAAUUAAUCCGUUCCCGAAUAAAUUCGAAAUUUCAAAAUCCCCAGUUUCGAAACAGAACUAUUUAAUUCCUUCCGUCGCAUUGAUCCAAAUUUCCUUAGAAGGUUCGGAACAAGUAAGGAAGUAAGAAUCCUUGAAUCAAACUUAAGGUCGACGACUCCAAUUUAUGAAAAUGGGAAAAAACGUGACCUCUCCUGACCACGAGAUGGACGAAGAAGAAUGCCAAAUUGUGCAUGAGAAAAGCACGCAUAUCGAAGCUUCAAGUCCAUCUCGUACAUGUUGUUUCCUCUGCUCCAUUCUAAUUCAAGAUUCCACUCCGAUACCAUACCACGUCGCGAGAAAGGUCGCGAUCUGCAUACCAUUCUUAAAAAAUAUUGAUCCAGACAGUGCCACUGCCACAAAUGGGGAGCAUAAAGUAUGUCCAGUGUGUUUGAAUCAGGUGAAAAAAGUAUGGAGUUUGCACCGUAAGAUUGUCGCAAUUCAGGCACAAAUCGUCACUAUUUUGACAAGGGCACGACAAAAGAAUCGUCCAGAUCUCACCCCCUCCAAAAAUGCUGACCAAUCAAACGUAGUACCACCACCUCCGGGGGAAAACGGUCAUCCAGUCAGUCAUUCCCCAUCGUCGCCAAGGUUUUCUUGACAAUCAAACUUCUAGCAAAUCUGUGAAUUCAAAAAUAAAUGUUAAAAACGUUGUUAUAAAUUUUGCGACUACAAAAUUUACCGUCGCCAUCAAGACGGAAUCCAACAGCACCACGGAAGACGGGAUCGACAUGGUGGACACUAUUUUCGUUGGAGUUUCUGCUGAAGAAAGCGUCGCUGACGAUACAAAUAACGUUGAAAUGUUCGGCCCUGAAUCCCACGUGUUCACGCCACGUGUCGAAACGUCACUAGCCAUUUGUCCAGAAUAACGACGACGUUGCCCGUGAAACCCCCCACUACCCGGGUUCGGUGGGGAAUAAUUCCUGUCAAGACGCCAGGGAACCAAAUAUUUUUGUCGGGGGACCUCCAAUCCUCGGGGGGACCAGUGUUUGUCAAAAUAUUACAACCGUCCCGACAUUAAGAAAAAUUUCAAAUCCCGUGAUAUCUAAACCUGAGAAAAGGAAAUACCAAUGUGACACGUGCAAAGUAGUGUUUUCAAACCAGGACAAUCUUAACCUUCAUACUGCAAAGACGCAUGGCAAGCUUUCCUGCUCUGUCUGUGGGAAAAUGUUGUCAUCCCCACAAAUUUGCGUGGCUCAUGAAGCCAUCGUUUGUAAAGUGUCGUAUUCACCCGAAUGCCUCAAAGCGAUGAGCGUAUAUUCCUGUGAGGUCGAGGGAUGUGGGAGAAUGUACUAUAGAAAGCAGGACUUAGAAAGGCACGUCUUCAUCACACAUGGGACACAUAAGGUUAAGGUACAACGGCGACAAAACCGGAAGUCAGUGCUUUAGUCGUCAUAAUGACAAGAUGCGGAUAAACGAACCGGGGGAUAUGGAUAUCAAGAUUUGCGGAGCCGUAGAGUGUCGUAAUGUUUAAUAUUUCUGUUGCCAGAAAUUACCCAAGUGACUUGAUUUAAGUCACAAAUUGUUGAAUUUGUACACAAACGUGCAAUUAUUUAUUAGAUAAUUAAUGUUUGCUUUAUUUAAGGAUUUUUCAUGGGUAUUGAGUAGUUGAUUAUUUUUAAAAAAUUCUGGAAAUUGAUGUAAAUAUGCUAAGUACAUACAUAUAUUUUUUGUUCCCCUGAAAAGGCUAAUAAAAUAAAAUACACUUGUCCAAAUUUGGAAUUGAAACUUGUCGAACGUGAACUUCACGUUGAUUAUUAUGGGCAUCGGAAAUUUAUGAAAAUCAGAAAACUUGUACCUGUAGCUAUUUUUCAAAUAUGCACUUAAUGAAGUCUAUAAUUCGAUUUAGCACACUCUUAAAAAUACUCAUACCCUCUAAUACAGUGUCGGACAGAUGUCUACGUCCAGAUAGUCGCGUCAAUUUCAUU